AGUGAACGCUGGCGGUAGGCCUAACACAUGCAAGUCGAACGGCAGCACAGUAAGAGCUUGCUCUUACGGUUGGCGAGUGGCGGACGGGUGAGGAAUACAUCGGAAUCUACUUUUUCGUGGGGGAUAACGUAGGGAAACUUACGCUAAUACCGCAUACGACCUACGGGUGAAAGCAGGGGAUCUUCGGACCUUGCGCGAUUCAAUGAGACGAUGCCGCAUUAGCUAGUUGGCGGGGUAAAGGCCCACCAAGGCGACGAUCCGUAGCUGGUCUGAGAGGAUGAUCGGCCACACUGGAACUGAGACACGGUCCAGACUCCUACGGGAGGCAGCAGUAGGGAAUAUUCGGCAAUGGGCGAAAGCCUGAUCCAGCCAUACCGCGUGGGUGAAGAAGGCCUUCGGGUUGUAAAGCCCUUUUGUUGGGAAAGAAAAGCAGCAGGUUAAUCCCCCGCUGUUCUGACGGUACCUAAAGAAUAAGCACCGGCUAACUUCGUG
rnacentral:rRNA from 1 species